CAGUGGGGUCCUGUCCCUCUCUGCCCAUCCCAGACCAGCCCUGCCUCUGUCCCCAGGCUCCGGGAGAGCUGGGGAGCCCUUCCCUGAGGCCGUGUACGAGGAGAUCGCUUACAGCCUGGCGUGGGAGAAGCAGGCGAGGUUCAGUCUCUCAGAUGUCCCUGUCCUGCCCGGAGGUUACCCAGCAGAUGGCUAUGAUGAUGCUGGGGAGGUUUCUGACCCUGGGGAGGAUCCUGUCCCUGGGCAGGGGGACUGGGAAGUGCCCAGGACACCAGAGGAAGGAGAUGGGCUGAGGGAUGCAGCCACAGGGGGAAGCCUGCACUCCCGGAGAAGUGCUGUGGUCCAUGGAGCUGAGGGAGACACCUCGUCACCUUUCCUGGGGACCACGGGCUAUGACGAUGUUGAAGAGGUGUCUCAGGCAUAUCCCCAUGAGGACACCGAGGGUGUGACAGCACAGCCCCAUGCACAAGAAUUCCAGAGCUCCAGGCCAGCAGAGCCCAGCUCUGCUGAGCAGCUGGGUGCAGCCGGGAGGGAGGAGAGCUCAGUGCCACUGGGAGAGCCGUGAGUGCCAGGGAAUGGUGUCCCUUUUCCAGCAGUCAGCAGACACACAUGGGUAUUUCCCCUCUUGGUAUUCCCCUGUUUUUAUGCUGUGUGUUGGUAUUUCCUCAUAUUAAAACCCUCUUCCAGUCU
rnacentral:lncRNA from 1 species